AAACCCUAAAUUUCUUGCCAAACUCAAAAAGCUUCCUUUUUUGGGGGAUUCUACUCCGAAUCCCUCCUCCUCCAAAACCCAGAUUUCAAUUUCCCCCAAUUCCACAAAAAAACCCACCAUGAUUUUCUUCAAACUCUUCCUCAUCUUUCCCUUUCUAACCCUAGCUUUCUCCCAUGAAGCCUUCAACCCCCACCUCCUCCCCAGACCCCUGAUCAUCGACUACCCCAAUCUCGCCGAGCCCCAUUUUAAAGAGAUUGAAGCAGAGGUCAAGCUUCAGUGUACGAGCUGGAGGUUUUCUGUGGAGGCUAACAAUGUGAAUCCAUGGAAGACGAUCCCGGAGGAGUGUGUGGAGUAUGUGAAGGACUACGUCACUGGAAGAGGGUACGGUGUUGAUUUGGAGAGGGUUUCUAGUGAUGCUGGGGUUUAUGCCAAGAGUGUUGAGUUGCGUGGUGAUGGGAAAGAUGUGUGGGUUUUUGAUGUUGAUGACACUCUCUUGUCGAAUCUUCCGUAUUACGCUGAUCAUGGUUAUGGCUCUGAGGUUUUCGAUAAGUUGGAGUUUGAGAAGUGGGUCAAGAAGGGGAUGGCACCGGCUAUAAAGUCCAGCUUGAAACUGUAUGAAGAGGUUUUGAGCUUGGGUUUUAAGGUUAUCUUGCUCACUGGGCGCAGCGAAGGAAAAAGAAGGGUUACUACUGAGAAUCUAAUCAAUGCAGGAUUUCGAGAUUGGUAUAAACUUAUUCUGAGGGCUUCAGAUGACCAUGGGAAACUGGCUACUAUUUACAAAUCAGAGAAAAGAAGCGAGAUGGAAAAAGAGGGCUACAGAAUUCUUGGAAACUCUGGAGACCAGUGGAGUGACUUAUUGGGUAGCUCAAUGUCCAUUCGAUCAUUCAAGCUCCCCAAUCCCAUGUAUUACAUUCCUUAAUAGGGAGCAUCAUCCUUUCCAAAUAAUUGUUCGACAAAUUAAAUUCUACUGAUUGGUUUGUGGCCUUGGUAUGUAGAAAUUUGAAGCUGUCAUAAUUGAACUGAGUGAAAAAUUUCUGAUGUAUAUAUGUACCACAGCGAGUUAUAAAUUACAACGACACUAUUACUCAUACUUCCAGUUUUAUCUCUCAUUCUUUCUCUGGUAACAACUUUAAUCUUUAAAUUCAUGUUGCAGACACUUUUGCUGAAUGGUCACGAUCAUACACAUGGAUAUAACCUUGGCAUUUGCUUUAUCACAAUUCUAAUCUGCAGGUCCACUUAUUUUCAGGGUCCUAAGCCAAAACUAUAGUAGAGCUGGCUGGCGUCGAAACUGGACAACGCAAAGUGCAGAUUCCUUCCUACUUUUGUAUCACACAGAUUGGACCACGGAAAUUAGUAGUGAAAAAUGCCCUUAAGAGGGGAGUAGAGACAAGUCAG